AACUGAAACACUAUACAUAUGCAUACGAUGGCUCACUGAAUCUCCCUUCUAUCUCUCCCUCUUCCUCCUGUUCAAUCCAUCGCUACCGCCUCUUUCACCCUCCACCAUUGCUUCUCUUCAACAGAAUCGAAGAUUCCAAGCCACACACACGUUGUUUUCCCGUUGUGCGACGAUUGCGGAUCUUCUUUCGGAUCUCGGAUCUUCUCCGGUGACAUCUCCACCAGCGACGACCUCUUUCGGCGAUAUCUCUUCCCGUGGUAAUCUCCUCCGGUGAUGUCACCUCCAGCUUCCUCUCCUUUCCAUCCUAGCUCUGCGCCUUCUCUGCCAAAAUCUUCAGCGUCUUCUCCGAUGACAUCUCUCUAUUGAAGAUCUCUAAAUCCAAGCCAUCACAAAUAGAACAAGAACAACUCUCCCCUGCUUCCUCUAUUCUUCUUGAUGAAGAAGCAGUUCAGAAGCUUCAGGGACAUCAAUGAGCUGAUUAAGGACAUGCUGGAACUGAAGGAAAGACAUUCGGCUGUGGAAACAGAACUGAAAGAGAUGCGUGAACGUUACUCUCAACUAAGCCUUCAAUUUGCAGAAGUUGAAGGUGAAAAAUAAAAGCUCAUGAUGAUACUCAAGAAUACUAGAUCUUCCAAGAAAGCUCUAAAUUCACCUGAUUCCUUGUAGCCAAAGUGAGACAUCAUCAUCAUCAUCAAUUUUUUUUCUCACCCUUGCACAGGUUAAUAAUCUAUGCAUAUUCUUGGUCAAGAUAUUUGUGGCCCCACCAUGAAUGUUACUCAUUUCUCUUUCAGGUUCAAAAUAUCUUGUCAAUAUAGAUUUCUAUGUAUUUUAAGUUUUGGGACUUAUUUUGCUCAUAUAUGCUGAUUUAGCUUCUUCAAUGUUAAGUACUUGUAUGGAUCUUAUCUCUUAUGCAACCUUGUCAUGUGGCAUUGUGACAGGUCAUAGUGUGGCUGGCUUGAGGUAAGGAAUUCAAUCAAUCAUUUUAUUUCAUUUAUGUACACAUUAUUGUGGACAUGCUGUGGUUGGCUUGAGGUAGAUCAUACUAGGCAUGAAUGAGAGUUUUGUUCGAAUGUUAGUGAGCCUCUAUUCUCAUUUUCAUUUCUUUCUCUCUCUCUUUCUCUCUCUUUGUUUGAAUAUCACAAAUUUAAUUAUGUUUUAGGAUUAGAUCAUAUGCUUAGUCAUACAAUAUUACAUCUUCUUAACUAGAUAAAAGAGAUGCCAACUACUCAUAAUGAAUGGGGUUAAAAGAUGUUUUAGGAUUUUUGCUCUCUGCUGUUUACUUCUUAGAUGACCCUUUCUUCUGAUUGCUCAUUUUUGUAAAGAAAAUUUGUUGUCCUUUGUAUUCCUCCUCUGCUGUCUAAUUUUCUCUUUAAUCCCAAAACAAAAAAAAAA